rfam:Neotoma lepida isolate 417 scaffold_179, whole genome shotgun sequence.
UUCGCCACUGAUUGUCCAAACGCAAUUCUUGUAUGAGUCUGCGGCCAACCGAGAAUUGUGGCUGGACAUCUGUGGUUGA